rnacentral:lncRNA from 1 species
UCUUCCCAAACAGGUUAAGAUUGGGGUAGAUGUUGCUUCUAGGUGCUCCCCAAAUGCCUUUUGCCUACAUUUACUGUAGCCCUGUAGAUUCUGGGUUGAAGCUGCCUAUUGUUUCCUGAGUCUCCAACUAAUGUGCAUGCUCCUUUGGGCCAUGACUUAACCUUGUUCACUCUUGUCUACCCAGUAGUUAGCAUAACGCCUGGCACACAGAAAAUGCACAGGAAGGCUCUAAUGAUUUGUACAAGAUUACAUGGCUAAUGGGUGGCAGAUCUGGGUUGAAAACCAGAUCUGUCUGCCAGUGGGGCAUUUAUUUCCCACUGUGCUGAGAAAGAAAUCUGCCCUUCAGAUACACACUCAUCCAAACACAGUUUUUAAAAUCCAGUCUCAAGGGUAUUCACAUGGUACACAUUGACACUCUGUUAAAGACAGACCCACAAUGAAAGUAAAUUAUUAGAAAUUCUUCCACUGAAGUGUGACAAAAGCUGGCACCACAUGUGGUGUUUAUACCGCAGGGCGGCUUUGGCCCAGGAAUGGGCCCCAGUGUGAUUCUCAUGCAAUGGAACAAUAAUAAUAGCUCUGAACCAGCCAUUUGGAAUGAAUAGAUCACGGAUGAGCUGCACAAAUGCAUCUUGCUCCUACCUAACAAUGUUAUUUCAUAGAACGCAUCCAAAAUACGAUUGUGGUGGCAUUACAGACCGCUGCAGCUGGGCGAAGAAGAAAAGAGAACUCAACAAUGGUCGCCACAGCUGUGCAGAACGUUUGAUACUCUCGUCAACAGCUCCUGCAGCUGGGCCGAAUGCAUUUUACAUCCUCUUUGCCUGUAAAAAACUCUGCAUUCACGACCAACACGACCAAGUGCUUUGCUCCUGGGGUUGUCUCUGAAGGGAGCCCAGUCCCUUCUUUCCAUCCUGCUUUCACCACUGCACCAGCCACUCCACUUUAUCAGAGAUCUCCACAGAGCUGCUCAUUGCCAGACUCAACAGGUGCUCCUCAGUCUUUGUCCUCAUCAUUUU